GCGAGACAAAACGAUGGGUACACCUGGAGAGAGAGACAUAAUCAAAAAUACCUCCACCACAGCAUGCCCAUUCCUCCCAAACAAGCUGAGGAAAAUCCCCACAACACUAAACACGUUCACACAGGCCAUACUUUAAGUAUGGAAGGAAGAAGCAGGUAGACUGUCCCCAACCCCAUCCCCACUAACCCCCUGGCACACCACCCACUAUUCCACCAUGCAGCACAAAGCCUCCAGAUAAAAACCUGGCAAGCCAAAGGCUGAUACCGCCUAGCAGACAUCUACAAAAUUAACAAACCCAUAUCAACACAAGAAGCAAUAUAAAGUUAUGAUCGUGGUGAAAAUGUUGGCCCACCCGCCCCUACCGAACAACCACCACAAGAAAUACAACAAAGUAGACUUGUGUCUCCUUAAAGUCUAACAAACCUAUUAUAGCAUAAGCUUCUAUGGAGCAUGGUCCACUUCUUUAAAUGCAUGAGUUACAAGUACAGUGGUACCUCAGGUUACAGAUGCUUCAGGCUACAGAUGCUUCAGGUUACAGACUCGGCUAACCCAGAAAUAUUACCUCGGGUUAAGAACUUUCCUUCAUGAUGAGAACAGAAAUCACGCAGUGGCAGUGGGAGGCCCCAUUAGCUAAAGUGGUACCUCAUUUUAAGAACAUUUUCAGGUUAAGAACGGACCUCCAGAAUGAAUUAAGUUCUUAACCCAAGGUACCACUGUAUAGGUAUGCAUGGGAAUUGUAAAUGGUGAGGUCAAAGAGAAAUGAAUUGCAGAAAAUACAGAGGGAGUAGGAAUUAUGGAGCUAACAAGGGCAAUUCACAAAAAACUUGUUGAUAAUGCAGACAUCCUGGCAUAGGCAAGGCAAUUGACACAAACAGUUGUACCGAUUCAAUCGACAAGUAAUAGCGCCCAGCUUCUUGAUCUGUUGAAAUUCAGCAGUUCCAUAUUGCAGUUUCUUUGCAACUGACCUGAAGAUGGUCAUUUUUCGGAGUGUCCUGGGCUGUCAAAGUGUUGUGCCACCCCCUUCCCGCAGUUUUUUUGAAUGUUGCAAUUUAUGGUGUCAUCUUUGUGUCUAUUGAUUCUUUUCUGUAGAGAUGAAACAAUGGACCUGGCUAGCCCUGUGGAACCACGCUUGAAACCACAACACCCUACCAUCACAGUGCUGAAGUGUACUGCUUUGUGGUUGGUAAUCCUGCAGGAUUAAGGAGGAGUUAAAAACGGCACUGCUCAAGUUGUGGGUUGACCACCUCCCUCAUUCCUCCCUCUCCUCCCAAUGGUUGCUUUGGGGAAGAAGGGAGGGUGAGCCUCUGAAUGAGCUUUUUUAUGAUGAAGAUGCAGCACAGGGAUAUCAGUAUGAUAAGAUUCCUUCCUCACCCUAGACAUUACCUAAUAGACAGUAAAAGUGGUAACAGCGAGACUGGCAUCUCAGUGUUAUCCUUUGGGUUUUGUUCCCCUUGCGCUUUUGGGUUAACUUAGGAGCC